CACACUGUCAUGGCGCCUUGGCGUCUUUAUCCAAAUCUUCAUCUCUCUGCUAUCAACUGUUCUAAUCGUAAAUAUAAACGACCCGACCUGUCGUUCUUUAGGUUCCCCAAUAGAAAAGAAAGGCUGGAAAAAACGCCGCGACCUACUUGGGGCCACGAGUACGCGGAGACCAUUCACGAGCAUGAGGAAGAGUUACGAAGACCUCCUACGACCUCGUGAAGACCAUGCUGCGAGUAUGAGUCAAGGGCAAACUCGGCAGAGGUCGCCAAUUAGGUUGUGAAAGUGGGAUAGGGGCUUUAGGACCAGCAUAUUAAAAACCCAGUAUAAAUGCAA